CUCGUAGGUGGCCAACUAAGCCAGACGUGAAAUCCCUCGGCUUAACCGGGGAACUGCGUCUGAUACUGGAUGGCUUGAGUUCGGGAGAGGGAUGCGGAAUUCCAGGUGUAGCGGUGAAAUGCGUAGAUAUCUGGAGGAACACCGGUGGCGAAGGCGGCAUCCUGGACCGACACUGACGCUGAGGAGCGAAAGCCAGGGGAGCAAACG
rnacentral:rRNA from 1 species